rnacentral:rRNA from 1 species
AACGAACGCUGGCGGCGUGCUUAACACAUGCAAGUCGAACGCGAAAGGGACUUCGGUCCUGAGUAAAGUGGCGCACGGGUGAGUAACGCGUAGAUAACCUGUCUUCAUGUCUGGAAUAAUACGCCGAAAGGGGUACUAAUACCGGAUAUUCUUGCUUUUCAUAAGUUAUGCAAGCAAAGGUGGCCUCUGCAUAUGCUACUGCAUGAAGAGGGGUCUGCGUACCAUUAGCUAGUAGGUGGGGUAAUGGCCUACCUAGGCGACGAUGGUUAGCGGGUCUGAGAGGAUGAUCCGCCACACUGGCACUGGAACACGGGCCAGACUCCUACGGGAGGCAGCAGUGAGGAGUAUUGCGCAAUGGGGAAACCCUGACGCAGCGACGCCGCGUGAGUGAAGGAAGGCCUUCGGGUCGUAAAGCUCUGUCAAGAGGAAAGAAGUGUACAAUGGCUAAUACCUGUUGUAUUUGACGGUACCUCUAAAGGAAGCACCGGCUAACUCCGUGCCAGCAGCCGC